GCCGGGUGUCGGUGGCAUGUGCCUGUAAUCCAAGUCACUGGGAGGCUGAGGUUGGUGGAUCAAGUGAGCUGAGGAGCUCUGGGCUGCAGCACACUAUGUGGAACGGGUGUCCACGCUAAGUUCGGUAUCGAUAUGGUGUUCCUGGGGGAGCCCGGGACCACCAGGUUGUCUAAGGAGGGGUGAACCGGCCAGGUCGGAAACGAAGCAGGUCAAAUCCCCAGUGCUGUCCAGUAGUGGGAUAAUACCUGUGAGUAGAUGCUGCAGUGCAGCCUUGGCGAAACAUCGAGACCUAAUCUUUC
rnacentral:SRP_RNA from 1 species